UACGUAGGGGGCAAGCGUUGUCCGGAAUCAUUGGGCGUAAAGAGCGCGUAGGCGGUCCGAUAAGUCGGUUGUGAAAACUGGGGGCUCAACCCUCAGAGGCCGACCGAUACUGUCGGGCUAGAGUACGGAAGAGGCAAGUGGAAUUCCUGGUGUAGCGGUGGAAUGCGCAGAUAUCAGGAGGAACACCUAUAGCGAAGGCAGCUUGCUGGGACGUUACUGACGCUAAGGCGCGAAAGCGUGGGGAGCGAACAGG
rnacentral:rRNA from 1 species